GAACUUGGAGCUUAGGAACAAACUUACUGGAGUUCCUGAAAUCGUGGGACGUUCUCGGCAACUGCGACACGCGCAUCCCGGUCGCUCGGGCCUCUGGCAUGAUUUAUGCAAGCAAAUAAAUGUCGCCGUCGUGUCAUUAGACCGGUUCGUUUGAAAUGCAAAUAGCAUUUGCAACGCGCAUCGGAUACACUCUCCAAUUAAGUGUCCGCGCAAACUUUUCCCGUGGCCCGGGCGGCCGCGCGGGAAGUUCGCAGGUGCUUUGAAGUCGGAUAUAGAUUUGCCGUAGGACCGAGCGUGAAACUCGAUAUCUAAUUAUACGCUCUCUCGAGUCACCACUACCGGAAGCAAGAUCGUCGGCUCUCCCCUAUGUGUGCACGCGUAUUCACGAAUGACUUCCUGGUUAAUCUUCUGGCUUUAGUCUCGCGUCAUCGGCAGUAUCAGCCGCUACGUUCGAUUGAGUAAUCGCGUUUCGCUCUCAAUCUAAUUGAAAUCCGUCGCGUUUGCGAGGACUUUUUGCAGUUAUUGACACGCGCUUUCGAUUUGUAUCUUAUCGGGCAUCCGCAGAGAAACGCGGGAGCUGUUAUUUAAUCCACGAUCUUACGGACGCCGAUCUGUAACGAAGAUUAGAGAAAUGUGAUUAGUGCUCUCUGCAGAAAUGUAAUUUUGAGAAACGCAAGUUGGAUAUAUUACAGAAAGGGAUGAGUUUAUAUCUAAUUAUAAGAUCUAUCGCCCCGAAAAAUUAUCUCUCGAGUUCUCUUGGUCAACGAAUUACAAGGGCUCAAGAGUGGAACUUUACUCGCGAAAGAGCAAGUCUUUGUCGUAACUCAAAAAUGUGCGGUAACUUUUAAACCCGUUCAAAGUGAAUGAGUCUACGCGAGUGAAUGAACUGAGCGUCCACGAUUCCAUUCGCUUUCCUUUCUACUCGGCCAUCUCAUUCGCGUUGGUGCGCGUUCGUGAUGGUAACACGUGGAUUCGUGUGAACGCAAGCGGAGCGUGGAGCGGCCGGGCCGAGUUUUCGGAAGUAUCGAACGGGUUCCGUCUCACUCCGGUUCCCUCCCCUGUCCCCGUGCUCUCCUUGCGUCCCGUUGGUCCCGGAGAACUCUACUUUGGUGAUAGUAUCCUGCCGCCCGUGUUGUCCGACGCGUUGCCGAAUUUUGGCAAUGAUUGAUGGCUAUUAAGGACCGGGCCAAACCCGCACCGCUUGUACCACGCCCCGUGUCUCCCCGCGUCCAUCGCGUAUCACGCGCGCACACCGCUAUAUUUGCGAGAUCGCAAUUAAAGCAAAAAUAGCGCACCGCACGAAACACCAGGGCUGGACCAACGCUCAGCCAGCACCCGCGGGAAAUAUUCGUUUCUGAAGCCUGCCCCGAAAGGACGUAAUGCAUUUUUUCCGACUAAACACCUCGAAAAUCUUUCCAAGCGAUACAGAGCCGUCAAUCAUAUAAAAAUUACAUUGAAAUUACAUCGAAUCUUUGAAGGUGGACGAUGCGACAUAAAGAUAAAUUAUUUUCAUAUGCACUCCGAUGAGAUUCAAUGAUGAGAUUUUUCCGCUAACGCGCAUUUAGAUUCGCUACUUAAAAGCUACGAGUUGCAAAACACGAUCGGAAUGUAUUCAGUCUCGUGUAAUCAAAUCAAGUGCACCGAUCACGAUUUCGCUUUCAGAGACGUCGUCGCAUCCGGUGGCGCACAACGGUGACGCUUGAUGGGAUUGCAGUUUGACGAAGGGCACGAAGGGACGGACGAGGGGAAAAGAUCGAUAGUCGCCGGCAGGAGAGGCGAGCGUCGAUGAAAAGGUCAAAGGUUUCAGGGAUAUCUCUCGUUGACGACGCACGACACCGCCUGGCUACCGCGAUCGAAGUAACAUUAUUCCGAUCUCUGGUCCUGACGCGAAAUUGUGAAAUGCCAUCGACGGGAUUGGACGAAUCAGCCGUGAUCUCGACUGUAAAUUUGCAAAAUUAUUGCAACGGUAAAGUAUUUUUGUUGUAAAAUGAACAGAGACUUGGUCGGCUACUUCCGACCUCGCGUGUCCACGACUACUCCUGUAACAUCCGUUAUGCAGUAAUAUUGUGUCGCGAUUGUAGGACGGAAUUGAUAAAUAGGUGGACAAUAAAAGGAGAAAUAAAUGCUACAAAA